CAGUGCCAGAUAUGGCUUGCAGAAUCCAGGAUGUGUACUGUGCCAUGGGUGUGCUGAAGGGGGAUAGUCACUACUUCCCCAGCAGCAUCCAGAACACUAUGAAACCAUGGUGCACACACUGUACUAUGUGGCUGAGAAGAUGCUAGAAAUGGGACAGAAACACUCUUACAUUAUUCUUGUCUGCACACGUCAGUUGGGAUGCUCAUCAGAUCACAGUGCUCCUUUGCUCAAGAGCCCCCACGUCUUGUCAUCUCACUGGAAUAAAACCCAGCAUCCUCAGCUGAUCUGCGAGGGCCUUUACCAGCCAUGCAAUCUUGGCUGCAG
rnacentral:lncRNA from 1 species